CCUACGGGCGGCAGCAGUGAGGAAUAUUGGUCAAUGGGCUUACGCCUGAACCAGCCAAGUCGCGUGAGGGAAGACUGCCCUAUGGGUUGUAAACCUCUUUUGUCAGGGAGCAAUUGGCGCUACGUGUAGCGUUAUCGAGAGUACCUGUAGAAAAAGCAUCGGCUAACUCCGUGCCAGCAGCCGCGGUAAUACGGAGGAUGCGAGCGUUAUCCGGAUUUUUUGGGUUUAAAGGGUACGUAGGCGGAAUGCCAAGUCAGCGGUAAAAUCGCGGGGCUCAACCUCGCUCCGCCGUUGAAACUGGCGUUCUUGAGUGGGCGUGAAGUAUGCGGAAUGCGUGGUGUAGCGGUGAAAUGCAUAGAUAUCACGAAGAACUCCGAUUGCGAAGGCAGCAUACCGGCGCCCAACUGACGCUGAAGCACGAAAGCGUGGGUAUCGAACAGGAUUAGAUACCCGUGUAGUC
rnacentral:rRNA from 1 species